GGGACAAACUUCAAGUAGAGUAGAUUAUUAGGAUCAGUUGACCAUACUCAACUAUUCUACUUCAAGUUUGUGCUC
rfam:Haemonchus placei strain MHpl1 genome assembly, scaffold: HPLM_scaffold0000356